rnacentral:lncRNA from 1 species
AAGAAAGUAAUCAACCGUAGGCCCUCUAAUAGCCCUAUACGGUUGAACCUAGAGCUCAAAAUCUAUCAUUAUCACUCUACCGGAGUCACCUCUGUGACCCGUCCGGCCUUCUGCACACAAGUUACGCUCUAGUGCUUCUCAUAAAUCAUCUGUGCACAUAAUCUAAGGUCACCCACCAGUCGGAAUCUCACUAACACUCUUGCGACUGGUCUGUCGUACCCACUCCGCGUGGACUGUACGACUAGCAUCUACUUGGAUCCAAGGCGAGCGUGCGAUGCGGUGAAUACUAUAAGCACUAAACCAUGGUGCAGGAUUUGAGCUCAAUAUAUAUCAUCAUAACAGUAAUUAAAUACUCAUCUGUGCGUCCACCGCACCAUUUCAUACAUAUGCAUCAUAAAUCAAUUCUUACCUGUGCGUCCACCGCACCAAUUCAUACAUAUGCAUCAUAAAUCAAUUCUUACCUGUGCGUCCACCGCACCAAUUCAUACAUAUGCAUCAUAUAUUAAUUCAUGCAUGGCAUUUCAACUCACAUUUCUAUAUACUUUUCAUAUCAAUUCUAUGCAUGGUAUUUCACUUCCCGUUUUUCCACAUAACUCAUAUGCAUUUCAUUUUAAACAUUAUUUUUCAUGCAUUUUCAAUUUCUGGGAAAACGUUAAGUAUAUAUAUAUAUAUACGGAAAACAAAACUGCCCACUCACCUGGAGUUCGUCCAACAACUCCCUAGCACCACACAUCAAGGCGUCACGACGAUCGCCGCCUAGAAUAGUAAUCAAAUCCAACCUCAGAAUUCAUAUCGAUAGAAUAUAUAACUUAUAUAAAAUACGUCACUACGUAGAUCGAUCCGGAAGAUCUGCCACUCAGAUUUUAAAUCCAUAACUUCCAAAGGUCCACAAUAUAUCUCUAGGAUAACAUCCUAAAAUUUCAUUUCCAUCCAACGGUCGGAUCUCCGUCAAUUUCCAAAACUAAGUGACGGUUAACAUUUUUAUAUUAUGGACUUACAACUUCAAUUCCGGAAGAUCCGUAAAUCGGAUUCCCAAUCCGUAAGUUCCUAUAAUCCUCAAAUAUUACGUAUUACAACGUAUCAAAAUUUGGUGACGAUCCAACGGUCGGAUCAUCAAUUCACAUUUUCACCUAAUGCGAAAUUUAUAAAAACGUUAUUUAAACGUACAUACGAAACAUUCGCUAAUAACUUCUCAUACGUUGAUCAAUUUGGGUAUAUAAAUAUACCACCGUGACCUACACGACGUCACGAACCCGUACAUAUUUUUAGAAAUAAUUUUGGACCAUGCACGCGCCCCCACGCGCCGGCGAGGCCACGGGUCUACGCGCGGCCCACGCGCAGUAACCCUAACGGAACUUUGAAACGGCGUCAGGAAUAUUCCGAGGAAUAUUCCGUUAACUUCUAACGGUAACCGUUAAAACUGACUAACGGCGUCAGAAUAUUCCGUCAAACUUGACGGAAUAUUCCGUCACCUUCAACCUUCAGCUCCGGCGACCGUCGCCGGUGCCGGAAACUGGGUAAGUUUUCUAAACUUGAUAUCUUGUUCGUUUUUCAACCAAUUUUUAUGAAAUUCAUACCAAAUUGAAGCUUAGGACCUCUAGAAUCACUUUAUACCUGUUUGAAACUUCAAAUUGCAUGAAAUUACGUCGGGGAACUUUGAAACUCCGGCGACCUCUGUAAAACUUCGUAACUGAGCUUCCCGUGAUCCUUUUCUUACCAACGAUGCACUCCGAGCAUCGUGAGAACAUUCUAAAGCUCCCUAUGAUCCUGAAAUUCAAAGAAAAUCUCCCAUUUAAAAGAUGAUGAACAAUACCCAAAUCGGGAAUCCUAUUUUUUUUUAGGGUUUUCCGACGUCCUAUUCCAUCCAAAACUCGUCCAUUAAACUUAAGAGGAAGAAAGAUUACCUUUGGGAGUCUUAAACUGGCUUGAAACUUCCAAGAUCACGUCGAAGUGAUUGUGUACUCAAAUCGGGUUACGGCUUUUCUCGGGUUUUCGAAGGUUCCAGGAUUUGAAAGCUAUGUGGUUAAAAUCAUAAGGACCUCAGGAACACCACCGUACUCUCCAUGAUCUCGAUCUGUAAAGGUUUGAAGGUUUUCGAGUGUUGUCUGUGUAUUGAGAGAGAAUGAGGGUGAGUGAAACUUGUCGAGGGAAUAGAGAGAGAGGGAGUGGUACACGGAUGAGAGAGAGAAAGUGCUUGACAGGUUUGAAAGGUAGAGCAAUUCACGGAGAAUGGGAAAUGACUUGGAUCCGUGAGUGUGUAGGGUCUAAGUCCUCAAUCAUUCAUCACAAACCUCCAAAACCUCAAAGUCCAUCUAACUUUAAACUAGGGUAAUUUAACUAAGUUCACACUUAAGAAAAUACUAAUCUUGGGACGGGCUGUGACAAUCUUCCCUCCUUAUAGAAUUUCGUCCCCGAAAUUCCAACAACCAACUAAAUCAACCUUACUGAAACAUCUAUACCCAUACAAUAGUCUCGGGUAGAUCUCUCUCAUCCGUUCUUCCACGUAAUUUCUUCUACUGAAUGAUUUCUUCACAAAUCCUUUACCACUUACUCUUUCUUAACUCUCGGGACUUCCUUUCUCCAAUCCAAAAUCGUCCUUAGUUCCUUAUCAAUUAGAUCCCGCUUAAUUCUCAAUAGUUGCACCAGAAUCUCAUGUGACGAAUCUGCCACCUAGUGACAACGUAUCGAACCCAAAAUACAUUAAGUAUCUUAGCCAACUCUGAAGACAUCACCACUUGUAUGCAACUUUAUUGAUUCCUUUAGUGAUCAAAACGGACUGAUGUGUUCAAGACUUAUCUUGUCUUCCUUUCUAAAUCUUACUAUUUCUGUUCAUGGUGAAAUUUCCAAAAAUAUCAAACCAUUUACCUUACACACUCGAUUAGUGGCAUAUCCAUCUGUUAGUCUCUUUUGCCAUUCCUGGUUACUUCAGGUUAACUUAAUCACCUGAAUACUUUGAGGAGACUCAUCCAUAGUCUCAGGGUCUACUAAAACUCUUUCUUGAUCGAAUCUUUCUCUAUUCAGAAGCAUUUCAUUCACACGACACGCUUCAGGGACCCUAUGGCGUUACUUCGGAAACUGCACAACCAACAUACUUAAGAAACUUAGCAGUUCCGUAAUCCAAUUCUCUUUUCCAUAAAACAAAUAAGUACUGUUACUCAACACUGGAGUAAAUGUACUAACUUAGUACAUUGACCAAUCAACACCUCAAAUUCGAUCAUAACCAUCUUAUGUACAAGAAAACUUGUACACAUAAUCCAAAGUAAUAUCUUUCCAUUUCUGAACUUUACUUUAGUUGGUUUCCAAUCCACAACAAGAAUUUUUUUUUUUUUUUUUUUUUUUUGGCAAGCGUGCCAGACAUUAAUCUUACUGUAGUCUUCUUAUCAAGUGCUUCAGCUACAACAAUUCACGAUCACCCUGAUCGUACAAUCAUAAUCACUAAGUAAUUCAAUUCACCUUUGUUGCCUCAUAUCAAAAUCCUUCCAAGUAAACAAAUAUUGGAGACUCUUUUGAUUUGUAAAAUCUUGCAUUCUUAUCAACAUAUAAUGUCUCCAUAACUUCACAGCAAGGAUGAUAAUCGUGACUUCCAAAUCACCAGUAGGGUAAUUCAUCUUAUGAGAUUCCAUUUGUCAUGAAACAUAUGCCAUCACCCUAACAUUUGCAUCAACAUGCAUCCAAUACCAUUCAAGAAAUAUCACUAAAAUUUUAUGAUUACCACUAUUCUCUGGGAAUACCAAAAUACGUGCAUGAGUGAGGAAAUACUUCAGUUGUUGAAUCCUUUGCUCACAAUUUCCUUCCUACUCAUACAUAACCUCCUUUCUCAACAGUCUCGUCAAUGACAAAGCAAUGACUAAAAAUUCUUUCACAACCAUCCAAAAUAGCCUGAUAAGUUAAGAAUUUCCGAAUCUCAAUUAUGGCUUGUGGUUGUUCCAAUUUCUCAAUUCUGCUGCCUUUUAAGAAUUCAUUUGAAUACCUUAAGUAGAUAUAACCAAUUUCAGAAUGCCACUUGAUUCAUCCAACAUUCACAUUUGCUAAACUUAGCAUACAGUCGACAUUCUUCCAAUCUUUGUUCCACCGACUUAAUACGUUUACAUGCUCUGCUCUGGCUCAGAAUAUGCCAGAAUAUCUUCAACGAAAAUGAUAUCAAUUAUCAAAGCAUUAUUGGAAUACUUCAUCCAUCAACUCAUAAAAUAGCAUGAGUAUCCAUAGCAUCACCAAACUUCAUAAAGACUAUAACAAGUCCAGAAAACCAUCUUAUAAUCAACAUCGUUCAAAAGCUUCAAUUGGUAAUGGACAGACCUCAAGUCAAUCUUUGAAUUUACACCAUUACCUCUGAGCUAGUCAAACAAACAUCAACCAAUUCUCUCAAUUGAAUUUCCAAUUCACUUAACUCAUCAUGAACCAAUCUCUAUCAUAAGAUUUAUACCUGGCAACAAUUCAAUAGUGAACCUUACAUCUUUGCCUGAAGGCAAUCCAGGUAUACUUUCAAGGACAACAUUAAGAAAGCGUCCAAUUACCUUUACAUUUUCCAACUACUAGGAGCCACAUUAUUUAGCAUCACAUAAGCUAAGUAUCCUUGACAGAUCUUCGAUAACUACCUCUUUACUCUCACAGCAAUUUAACAGUCUGUCUCACUCCACUUUGCAUACCCAUCAAGGUAACCUCUGAUCAUCCAGAUCGUUGGAAAGUGACUGGUUUCCCGUAACAUUCCAUCUUAUCACAAUGAUAAUCAACCAUUCUAUAUCUAGAAUGACAUCAAAAUCACAAUACAUACUCUAUUACUACUAAGCAUUCUGAAUAAGUACAAUACUAACAUAGGAUAACCUACCAGUUUACUUACUUAACGAAUCCACGAAUAAGUUAUUAAUAUUACGGUCUGCAGCCCGCAAUACUGAUAAAUCAUCGUUGUCUCGAUAAGUAGGCAACAACUCUCAAAGAUAUAAUAGUACUAUUUUUAUCACUCAAUGCAAAAUACAUAAUAAGAAAUAUAUCAGCCGGGGUCAACUAGAAUGACAUGUACGGCUGAUUCAACAAUUACCUCAAUAAUAUGUCGGCCGGAUCCACUCCGCGUGGUCGGUACGGCCGAGCCUAUAACUCACCAAUUUCUCAUUCGUCAGCCGGGUCCACCUCUCGUGGCCUGCAUGGCUGAACAUAUAACUCAUCAAAUCUUUCUGUACCCACGGUCACUCCGACCAAACUACUAAGUCCAUAACUCUGCUGAAUCGACACUAUGAUAUCAUGGAAAAUUGUUGAGUACAACUGAUUCUAGGGACAAUUCACAAUUCUGUGUCUCCUCUGUUCACAUAAACACAUUCAUUAAUUUCACACUUCCCAAAGUGUUAAUUUUGUACCUGCUGCACAAGGUACAUUUCCUUUACUCGAGACACCUUGUCUCAAAUAUCUGGGAUUACCAGUAUAUCCAUCACUUUUACUUUGACCAGCGACAUUAAAAACUCAACUGGAAGAAUUAACUCUAGCUUCACUUCUUUCGAAACUCUGAAUCUUUCUAUAUCCUUGAUAUGACGAAUCAUUAACUUUAUCGUCUUUUUUUUUCCAUUCAUUUCUUAUUCUUCCUUAAUUCACAUUUGCAACUCUUGCUUAUUACCAUCGAUAAAUGCUGGAGGAAUAAACUUUUCCUUUAACAAGUCCUUAAACAAUUCUCAAGCGGCUGUUUCCUCCAGUGACAACAAUUAUACUCCUGUUUCCACCAGGAUACAAAUUCAUACCCAAAACCAGGUAGUCGUCUCGACCCCUCAGUCAAAAGGAAGAUUCCUUUGACUUGCAUAAUCUAAAACAUCUUUUCCAAAUGGUUAAACCGUUACUUCGCUCCCUCGGGUUCAUCAUUUCAUAAGGUGAUUCAAAUUCGACUCAUAAUCCGUCUUAAAAUGUCCCUUUUUAUAAUAGACUGAAUCACCAUAAGAAUAGUUUCCCCUAAACCGCUAUAUUAGGGAGACUAAAUUCCUCUAACUAAGUGGUUUACUACGAGGCGGUGUAGUUCUGACAGAAUUCACUAGAAACUUCUCAAAAUGUCCAAGAUUGCAACCAUGCUCUGAUACCAACUGACACACCCCGUCCCGAAGGAGGGCAUGCUGGCCGUCACGUGAGAGUGACGUAACCAUUUGCACAGUACGGAAGCUUUAAGAUACAAUUUAUAAGUUGAUACACCCGAAGGUGAGUCCUAAUUUUGUCCAAUCUGUCAGAACACCGACGAAUUCCUCGUAGUCACCACACCUUUGUGAUUCCUGAACCUGGAGGGGCGCAAAACCAAAAUUGAGUGGGUCAGUAAAACAAUUCUUUUCCAAAACCAAACAUUUCUCAAAACGUUGUAACCCCUCUCCGUAAAACCUGUAUACUUUCCCAGAAAUGUAAAAUAUAAAUAUACAUAUAUAUUCUCAAAACUUCAUUUUUACUAUCUCAACAUUAUCUCUUUAUCAAUCAUGCCAUGCCAUGUCAUCUCAACAUUUCUCAUAUUAAUUAUGCCAUGCCACAUCAUCUCAACAGUAAUAAGGUAUGAAUGCAUCAACAUAAUCAUAUCAGGUGCAAGAAAGUAAUCAACCGUAGGCCCUCUAAUAGCCCUAUACGGUUGAACCUAGAGCUCAAAAUCUAUCAUUAUCACUCUACCGGAGUCACCUCUGUGACCCGUCCGGCCUUCUGCACACAAGUUACGCUCUAGUGCUUCUCAUAAAUCAUCUGUGCACAUAAUCUAAGGUCACCCACCAGUCGGAAUCUCACUAACACUCUUGCGACUGGUCUGUCGUACCCACUCCGCGUGGACUGUACGACUAGCAUCUACUUGGAUCCAAGGCGAGCGUGCGAUGCGGUGAAUACUAUAAGCACUAAACCAUGGUGCAGGAUUUGAGCUCAAUAUAUAUCAUCAUAACAGUAAUUAAAUACUCAUCUGUGCGUCCACCGCACCAUUUCAUACAUAUGCAUCAUAAAUCAAUUCUUACCUGUGCGUCCACCGCACCAAUUCAUACAUAUGCAUCAUAAAUCAAUUCUUACCUGUGCGUCCACCGCACCAAUUCAUACAUAUGCAUCAUAUAUUAAUUCAUGCAUGGCAUUUCAACUCACAUUUCUAUAUACUUUUCAUAUCAAUUCUAUGCAUGGUAUUUCACUUCCCGUUUUUCCACAUAACUCAUAUGCAUUUCAUUUUAAACAUUAUUUCAUGCAUUUUCAAUUUCUGGGAAAACGUUAAGUAUAUAUAUAUAUAUACGGAAAACAAAACUGCCCACUC